rnacentral:rRNA from 2 species
UACAUAGGGGGCGAGCGUUAUCCGGAUUUACUGGGCGUAAAGGGUGCGUAGGUGGUUAUAAAAGUUUGUGGUGUAAGUGCAGUGCUUAACGCUGUGAGGCUAUGAAAACUAUAUAACUAGAGUGAGACAGAGGCAAGUGGAAUUCCAUGUGUAGCGGUAAAAUGCGUAAAUAUAUGGAGGAACACCAGUGGCGAAGGCGGCUUGCUGGGUCUAUACUGACACUGAUGCACGAAAGCGUGGGGAGCAAACAGG